rnacentral:tRNA from 1 species
CCGGGUGUAGCGCAGUGGCAGUCGCGCCCUUAUUGCAUGAGGAGAGGACGCCGGUUCGAUUCCGGCCACCCGGG